rnacentral:lncRNA from 1 species
GCCUGAUCUGACAGGGGGCAUCACACUGCUCUCUAGGAGAGCUUUGUACGAGCAUGUCUUACGUGAUUAAAACUGCUUACCAGAGAGGUGAAAAGAGUUGUCAGGAAUCUGCAUGUUGCAAGUCUGCACCUUGAAGUGAAAAGUGGGCCUUUGCCCUGGACACUCUGGGCAAACGCCAAAUGUGCUAUAACUAAUGGCCACAAAAAGCCAUGUGGUUUCUUUUCCCUUUCUCACAAGUUCUUUUCUCUGUUAUUUGCUGUUUAAACUCCUUUUUUAAUGUUGGAGUUAUACAUUCUAAUUCUAGUUUUUUCCUUUUUCUUUAACUCAGGACUGGUGUUUGAUACUUCACCAGGUAUCCUCCUGCCCGUGAUAGUCCCUCUGAGAUGUUACUGAAUUACAAGGUCCGAGAAAUCCUGACCACAAGCCAACAGAUCCCUCAGAAGAACAUCAGGGCACAAAAGGACAUGUUCUUCACUAUGCUUAUUUCUGUACACAAGAGGAAUCCCUUCAGAGAUGGUACAAUGACUUGGCAAAUGUAGUCUGGCACAUCUAUAAGCACUAACAGAGUGAAUGCUUAAGUAUGAUUGAUGUAAACGAUGGAACUGAUGAAGAAAGUGAAAGCUCAAUGUGGAAAAACCAAUGCCCAAAUAUUUAUUGUGAAGAAAUAUUUCAUACAUGGAAGCAGAUUGAAGAGAAAGGCUGUGACCC